UACGUAGGGGGCGAGCGUUGUCCGGAAUUACUGGGCGUAAAGAGCGCGUAGGCGGCUCGAUAAGUUCUGUGUGAAAGCCCCCGGCUCAACUGGGGAGGGUCGCGGAAAACUGUCGGGCUGGAGUGUCGGAGAGGGAAGUGGAAGUCCCGGAGUAGGGGUGAAAUCCGUAGAGACCGGGCCGAACACCAGUGGCGAAGGCGGCUCACUGGCCCGGUACUGACGCUGAGGUGCGAAAGCGUGGGGAGCAAACAGG
rnacentral:rRNA from 1 species